CCUUCUUGACUGCACUUGCCAGAGUAGAGCUUCUGUCCCGUGAAACUGGAGGUCCAUGGCUCAAGGGCCACAGACUGCCAUUCUUCUUAUUAACAUGUGGAUUUUCCUGAAUGUUUCUCCAUUUGCUGCAUGCCUUUAGGAAUACAGUUUAGGAUACGUAUAACAUACAACAGCUGUGUGCAUCGAUUAUUUAUGCCACCGGGAAGGCUUCUGGUCACCAGCAGGCUACUAGCUGUGAUCAAGUCUGAGUCUACUGAGAACGAACGUCUGUUGAGCAUGCGGGGAGGACAGAGGAUGGGGUAUGCCUCUCGACUCACUACUCCAUGAGCACCCAGCAACCAGGCCAGCGCCUGGCACACAGCAGGGCACAAUGCUCUUGUGGACGAAGUCAGCAACGGGACACCAGUCAAUGCUGCUCAUUGCCAGGUGGUGAGCUCAGGCACCAUGCAUCCCUGCAAGUUCUUCCUCCUACUGGACAUUUUUAUUGAUGUUUCUACUCUGGAAAUGGAUCGAGAGAGAGAGGGCGAAGCUUCCAGAGGGUGCGUGGAGGGACUGCAUUGCAGGAAGAGUAAUGACAUCAGCUGAGCUGGAACUGUUGUCAGAAGGUAUACAAAGUGCUGGAGAUACAGAGAUGAAUACAAUACAGGCAUUCCCUGAAGGAGUGAUGUCUUGGGAAUAGAAGGAGGAGGCUGGUGAGCUGGCCAGCCCAAGAGUGCCAGGUACUGGGCCUGUCCUUCCCAGAAGGGCACCUUCUGGGCCGCAGGGGCUUGCCUAAAAAAGGCCAGAUUUGCAAAAGAGGUCUCCCUCAAGCAUUGUCUCCAAAGCUCCCCUUAUUCAGCUACCGACUUCAAUCCGACCCAGAGGUGCCAUAUCCCUCUUCCUCAAGACCCAAUUGAGGGUAUCAACCUGUAUCAACCCUGCUUUAUAAGACUUUUCGGAUGUCAUCAGUUCUUAAAGAGAAAUCCGCAAAUAUUCCCAAAUCCUUCCCAGAACACGAGCAGCUGGGUCUGCAAGUUAGCCUCUGCUGAAACCAUGUCUGUCUUUAAAUGACCCAGGUGGGAAAUUCCAUUGCUUAUCAAGUCUUUUUGGACAGAAUUCAGAAAAUCAGUCUGUUGUAUGUAGGCUCUUUUCAAAGAAUGUAUUUUAAAAUGCACUGUUUUCAUGACACCAUGCAACACUGUGACCACCUGUGUCCCCCACCAAACCAGUGAAGGUAGGCCUAUUGCUGGGGCCUCACCCCCAGGUGAUAAACACAGUCAGCCGCUUGAUUAAUACUUGUGGAAUGAAUGAACAAAUGGAUGGAGAGUACAAACAUGUGGGCAAAAAUCAAGAAUGAAAAUGAGGAAUGUUUUGUGUGAACAAUUCCCUUUGCAUACCAAACCCAAAAUGUAAUGUGGUUUGGCAUCUGAUGCUAGAAAUUUUAAUAGCAGACCGCGGGCUUCAUUCUUUCUCCUCUGUCUCUGGCCUCUCUUCCCCCUUCCAGAUAAACUGCUGCUUCCACAGCGGGUAGAAUUUUACUUAUUGUGUUUGGACUCUACACUCAUGUGAACACACAGAUGCACAGCCCAGGACAGGUCAAGAAGCAAAAACCAACCAGGAGACACUUCCCAGCAUCUCUGUGAAGAAUGUGCUAGAUCUCCUGCUAUAGGCUCCAGACACCAGGGAAAGGCCCUGGAUGUUCUCCACAGAUGCAGCUUGCCUAUAAAUCCAAGAUCCUUUGUCCAAGAGCAGCAGCUCUCACACCUCCAAUAAUAGCUAGAGAACAUCCCGCACCAGUAGGCUUUCCUAUGGACAGAAGUAUUGACACACAAAUGUGGCUCACCUCUAACACGCUUUACCAAUCUAGCUGAACUGUUUCUUUUAAAUAAAAAUUCUGAGGAAAAAAAGAGAGAUGCAAAUUCAAGGAGUUUGCUAUUUGAAAGAACAUAAUUAUGUAUUUAGAAUCAAUUUGAAGUUCAUUUUUCAAAAUUUUAUCUAUUUAUUGACAAGAGAGAGCAUGAGUGGGGGAGGGGCAGACGGAGAGGAAAAAGCAGACUCCCUGCUGAGUAGAGAGCCCAAUGUGGGGCUUGAUCCCAGGCCCCGAGAUCAUGACCUGAGCCAAAGGCAGAUGCUUAACUGACUGAGCUGCCCAGGUGCCCCUGAAAUUGAUUUUUAGAGGGUUGGUAAGGUGUAAGAUUGACUAGGCCUAUCACUAUGUGAUAUAGGUCUGGAUUAAUUUAAUGAGACUUUACCGAGUACAUGGGCAGGGGUCAGGGAUGUUUUAUAAUUUGGUACAGAAACAGGUAACUUUCAAAAACUUAAAAAAAAAAAUCUUGAUUUUUCUCUGAUAAUUUUAAGAAAACAUUUUGUGUUAGGGGUGCCGGCGGCUCAGUCUAUUGGGUAGCUAGCUCUUGAUUUCGCCUGAGGUCAUGAUCUCUGGGUCCUGGGACUGAGGCCCAUGUCAGGGUUCUGCACUCAGCAGGGAGUCUGACUGGGGAUUCUCUCUCCCUCUCCUUCUGCUCCUCCCCUGCUCAAGCAUCCAGCCCUCCACCCCCUGCCCUGCAGCUUUCUGAAAUAAAUAAAUUGAUCUUUGGGGAAAUAAGAAAGGAAAUGUUUUAUGUGACAGACAAUGCUUGACUAAGGUAAACCACUAUCUUCUGGGUUAUCUUUGCAAUACUGAAUAAAGAAAAGAAAU